rnacentral:tRNA from 1 species
UGGUACAGUGGUUAAGCAUUUGGCUGCUAACCAAAAGGUUGGUGGUUCAAAUCCACU